rnacentral:miRNA from 1 species
CGGGUCGUCAAUUUCGGGCC